rnacentral:ncRNA from 1 species
UCUUAUUCAGAGCAGGUGGAGGGACAAGCCCUAUGAUACCCGGCAACCGGUCCAAUGGUGGACACGGUGCUAAUUCUUGCAGCCAGAACCGAUGGCUGAGAAAUAAG